rnacentral:rRNA from 1 species
AGAGUUUGAUUCUGGCUCAGAACGAACGCUGGCGGCGUGGAUUAGGCAUGCAAGUCGAACGAGAUCCAGGGCGUCCAAGUAGCAAUAUGAGGAUGUCCUGGUGACAGUGGCGAAAGGGUGAGUAACGCGUGGGUAAUCUGCCCUCAAGUUGGGGAUAGCUCUGCGAAAGCGGAAUUAAUACCGAAUGUGGUCGUGGCGCGCAUGUGCCACUAUCUGAAGCCGGGGACCGCAAGGCCUGGCGCUUGAGGAUGAGCCCAUGUACUAUCAGCUAGUUGGUGAGGUGACGGCUCACCAAGGCUAUGACGGUUAGCUGGUCUGAGAGGAUGGUCAGCCACACUGGGACUGAGACACUGCCCAGACUCCUACGGGAGGCUGCAGUCGAGGAUCAUUCGCAAUGCGCGAAAGCGUGACGGUGCGACGCCGCGUGCAGGAUGAAGGCCUUCGGGUCGUAAACUGCUGUCAUGAGGGAGCAACGAAUCUGCCGCUAACACCGGCAGGAAGUGAUAGUACCUCAAGAGGAAGCCACGGCUAACUCUGUGCCAGCAGCCGCGGUAAUACAGAGGCGGCGAGCGUUGUUCGGAUUUACUGGGCGUAAAGGGUGUGUAGGCGGUUCUGCAUGUCGGAUGUGAAAUCUAACAGCUUAACUGUGGAAUGGCAUUCGAAACUGCAGGACUGGAGUACAGGAGAGGAAAGCGGAAUUAUCGGUGUAGCGGUGAAAUGCGUAGAGAUCGAGAAGAACACCGGUGGCGAAGGCGGCUUUCUGGACUGAUACUGACGCUGAGGCACGAAAGCUGGGGGAGCAAACAGGAUUAGAUACCCUGGUAGUCCCAGCCCUAAACGGUGUGCACUUGGUGUGGGAGGUUUGACCCUUUCCGCGCCGGAGCUAACGCGUUUAAUGCACCGCCUGGGGAGUACGGUCGCAAGAUUAAAACUCAAAGCAAUUGACGGGGGCCCGCACAAGCGGUGGAGCAUGUGGCUCAAUUCGAUGCAACGCGAAGAACCUUACCUGGGCUUGACAUGUGACUGCACGCCCCGUGAAAGCGGGGAAGCCUUCGAGGGUGUCACACAGGUGCUGCAUGGCUGUCGUCAGCUCGUGCCGUGAGGUGUUAGGUUAAGUCCUGCAACGAGCGCAACCCUUGUGAUUAGUUGCCAAGUUCGGUGAUGAAUCGGACGGCACUCUAAUCAGACUGCCCGUGAAAAGCGGGAGGAAGGUGGGGAUGACGUCAAGUCAGUAUGGUCCUUAUGUCCAGGGCCGCACACGUGCUACAAUGAACGGUACAGAAGGAAGCAAAGCCGCGAGGUGGAGCAAAUCCCCAAAACCGUUCUCAGUUCAGAUUGAAGUCUGCAACUCGACUUCAUGAAGCUGGAAUCGCUAGUAAUGGCGCAUCAGCUACGGCGCCGUGAAUACGUUCCCGGGCCUUGUACACACCGCCCGUCACAUCAUGAAAGUCGACUGCACCCGAAGUCGCUGAUCCAACCCGCAAGGGGGGUAGGUUCCGAAGGUGUGGUUGAUGAUUGGGAUGAAGUCGUAACAAGGUAACCAAGGGCGAAUUCCAGCACA